rnacentral:rRNA from 1 species
CGGCCGGGAACUCAAAGGAGACUGCCAGUGAUAAACUGGAGGAAGGUGGGGAUGACGUCAAGUCAUCAUGGCCCUUACGACCAGGGCUACACACGUGCUACAAUGGCGCAUACAAAGAGAAGCGACCUCGCGAGAGCAAGCGGACCUCAUAAAGUGCGUCGUAGUCCGGAUUGGAGUCUGCAACUCGACUCCAUGAAGUCGGAAUCGCUAGUAAUCGUGGAUCAGAAUGCCACGGUGAAUACGUUCCCGGGCCUUGUACACACCGCCCGUCACACCAUGGGAGUGGGUUGCAAAAGAAGUAGGUAGCUUAACCUUCGGGAGGGCGCUUACCACUUUGUGAUUCAUGACUGGGGUGAAGUCGUAACAAGGUAACCGUAGGGGAACCUGCGGUUGGAUCAC